AGAGUUUGAUCCUGGCUCAGGACGAACGCUGGCGGCGUGCCUAAUACAUGCAAGUAGAACGCUGAAGGAGGAGCUUGCUUCUCUGGAUGAGUUGCGAACGGGUGAGUAACGCGUAGGUAACCUGCCUGGUAGUGGGGGAUAACUAUUGGAAACGAUAGCUAAUACCGCAUAACAGUAGAUAUUGCAUGAUAUCUGCUUGAAAGGUGCAAUUGCAUCACUACCAGAUGGACCUGCGUUGUAUUAGCUAGUUGGUGAGGUAACGGCUCACCAAGGCGACGAUACAUAGCCGACCUGAGAGGGUGAUCGGCCACACUGGGACUGAGACACGGCCCAGACUCCUACGGGAGGCAGCAGUAGGGAAUCUUCGGCAAUGGACGGAAGUCUGACCGAGCAACGCCGCGUGAGUGAAGAAGGUUUUCGGAUCGUAAAGCUCUGUUGUAAGAGAAGAACGAGUGUGAGAGUGGAAAGUUCACACUGUGACGGUAUCUUACCAGAAAGGGACGGCUAACUACGUGCCAGCAGCCGCGGUAAUACGUAGGUCCCGAGCGUUGCCCGGAUUUAUUGGGCGUAAAGCGAGCGCAGGCGGUUAGAUAAGUCUGAAGUUAAAGGCUGUGGCUUAACCAUAGUACGCUUUGGAAACUGUUUAACUUGAGUGCAAGAGGGGAGAGUGGAAUUCCAUGUGUAGCGGUGAAAUGCGUAGAUAUAUGGAGGAACACCGGUGGCGAAAGCGGCUCUCUGGCUUGUAACUGACGCUGAUGCUCGAAAGCGUGGGGAGUAAACAGGAUUAGAUACCCUGGUAGUCCACGCCGUAAAC
rnacentral:rRNA from 1 species